rnacentral:lncRNA from 1 species
CGAGGUUUCUUCUGUUGGAGAGAGAGGGACAGGGGUCCCCCACCCCAUCACCCCCGACACCCCCAAACCACUGAGCCGUGCACCUACGUCUGGUAGGAGAGAGACAUGGACAGACCCGCUUUCCCCGAAAUGAAGGCCCCCCCCACGCCACGGCAGCUCCACAAAACGGCCCCCAGCCCCAGCGGUCCUGGCCGGGAUGACCGGGGGCCUCGACGCGCCCCGGGCCAGCCCGCCGCCCUCUGGGCCUCCUGCCUGUGCCUUCCUGCCACCUCCAAUGAGGUCCCUGAGGGGACGUCCCGCUGGAGAGGGACCCGGAGAGCCGAGGGCUCCUGGGAGCACGCUCUGUCCCCGCUUAGCCCCUGGGAGUGGGGCUUCCCGGCCAAAGCUCUGGUGUCCAUAGCUUGGACAGUUGGGGUAAGGCCAUGCCUCUCUGGGGAGUCUUGGUCAGAGGUCAGGUUCAAGGCCCCUCUAGGCAUCCCCAGCCUGAUGCGCUCCUCCCCCCAUGCCCUCUCGGGGCGUGGCCAGUGGGUGAUGGAGCCUGGGAAGGGAGAGCCCCCCCAAUAUCCCCCCCAGGCAGGAGGGGUCCGUGACCCCUGCACUGUGUCCUGCAGGCCGGGCCCUUCGAGCCGCCCCUUGCAUAAGGCAGGCCCCUGUGAGCCACUUCCUGUCCUAGCUCCGACUCCCAUUGGGCCCUCCUUCCUCCUGGUGCUAAUUUGGGGACCCUGGGGGGCGGCCCAGGACCUGCUUGGACCAGGGCGCUGGGUCCCUCCAGCCGUACCCCAGAGAUCAGGCCACUGCCGGCUCCACUGGGCUUGGCACAUUUCGGGCAGCGGCGGGCGCACGCAGCCCGGGGCAGGGGGCUUCCUCAGCAGAGUCCCCUGCGCUGCCCACCCGACGUGAGCCUGUCCCCCUCUGGCCAGGAGGGGUGAGGGGUUCCCCCCGGAUGCAGCCACACAUGCCCCCAGAGGCACAUCUAUGCGCACGCUCACAGACCCACACCUGUGGGCUGUGGCCCGUGAGGCCCCAUCUCGGCCCGCCCCGGGGGCCUCCGGCCUGGUGCCAAGGGCAGGUGCAGGGCCCACCUCCGGCCGCAGCCUAGACCCCGACUCAGCUCUGCCCCGCGGUGGCGGGG